rnacentral:rRNA from 1 species
AGCGAACGCUGGCGGCAGGCUUAACACAUGCAAGUCGAACGCCCCGCAAGGGGAGUGGCAGACGGGUGAGUAACACGUGGGAACGUACCCUUUGGUUCGGAAUAACUUGGGGAAACUCAAGCUAAUACCGGAUAAGCCCUUAUGGGGAAAGGUUUACUGCCGAAGGAUCGGCCCGCGUCUGAUUAGCUAGUUGGUGAGGUAAUGGCUCACCAAGGCGACGAUCAGUAGCUGGUCUGAGAGGAUGAUCAGCCACACUGGGACCGAGACACGGCCCGGACUCCUACGGGAGGCAGCAGUGGGGAAUAUUGGACAAUGGGGGCGACCCUGAUCCAGCCAUGCCGCGUGAGUGAUGAAGGCCUUAGGGUUGUAAAGCUCUUUUACCCGGGACGAUAAUGACUGUACCGGGAGAAUAAGCCCCGGCUAACCUCGUGCCAGCCGCCGCGGUAA